AUUGAACGCUGGCGGCAUGCUUUACGCAUGCAAGUCGAACGGUAACAGGCCUUCGGGUGCUGACGAGUGGCGAACGGGUGAGUAAUGCAUCGGAACGUACCCAGAGGUGGGGGAUAACGCAGCGAAAGCUGUGCUAAUACCGCAUGUGAUCUGAGGAUGAAAGCGGGGGACCGAGCAGCAAUGUUUGGCCUCGCGCCUUUGGAGCGGCCGAUGUCGGAUUAGCUAGUUGGUGGGGUAAAGGCCUACCAAGGCGACGAUCCGUAGCUGGUCUGAGAGGACGACCAGCCACACUGGGACUGAGACACGGCCCAGACGCCUACGGGAGGCAGCAGUGGGGAAUUUUGGACAAUGGGCGCAAGCCUGAUCCAGCAAUGCCGCGUGGGGGAAGAAGGCCUUCGGGUUGUAAACCGCUUUUGGCAGGAACGAAACGGUGUCCGCUAAUACCGGGCGCUAAUGACGGUACCUGCAGAAUAAGCACCGGCUAACUACGUG
rnacentral:rRNA from 1 species